rnacentral:hammerhead_ribozyme from 1 species
AUUCGGCUGAAGAGUCUCAAAUAGGACGAAACGCGCAUUCUGGAU